GCACGGGUGAGUAACGCGUGGAUAAUCUGCCUUGGAGUGGGGGAUAACUAGUCGAAAGAUUAGCUAAUACCGCAUAAGACCACAGGAGCUGCGGCUCUAGGGGUCAAAGGUUUUUCGUUCCAAGAUGAGUCCGCGUAAGAUUAGCUAGUUGGUGAGGUAAUGGCUCACCAAGGCGACGAUCUUUAACUGGUCUGAGAGGAUGAUCAGUCACACUGGAACUGAGACACGGUCCAGACUCCUACGGGAGGCAGCAGUAGGGAAUAUUGCACAAUGGAGGAAACUCUGAUGCAGCGACGCCGCGUGAGUGAUGAAGGCCUUCGGGUCGUAAAGCUCUGUCGCAGGGGAAUAACACAAUGAAUGUACCCUGUAAGAAAGGAUCGGCUAACUUCGUGCCAGCAGCCGCGGUAAGACGAGGGAUCCUAGCGUUGUUCGGAAUUAUUGGGCGUAAAGCGGAUGUAGGUGGCUUUGUAAGUCAGAUGUGAAAGCCCAGGGCUCAACCCUGGAAGUGCAUUUGAUACUGCGAAGCUUGAGUGUCGGAGAGGUUACUAGAAUUGUUGGUGUAGUGGUGAAAUACGUAGAUAUCAACAGGAAUACCGGAGGCGAAGGCGGGUAACUGGCCGAACACUGACACUGAGAUCCGAAAGCGUGGGGAUCAAACAGGAUUAGAUACCCUGGUAGUCCACGCCGUAAACGAUGGAUACUUGUUGUUGGAGGUAUUGACCCCUUCAGUGACGA
rnacentral:rRNA from 1 species